GCCAGUUUAAGCUGGUGUUAAAGUAGACAAGCAGACUGGUUAAGACCACCAAGACUAAAUGAAGUUGUUUGUCACAGACAUCUUAGGAGGAAGAGAAUACAGAUACCAGACAUUUUCUUUACUAAAAUGGACAGUUUUUUUUUCUUUCUUUUUUUCCUUUUAAAAGAUUUUUUAUAUAGAAGAAAUCUGAAAAUUUGGAGGCAGCACCGGCUUUUUUUAAAUGAAGAAUGGUGUAUAUGAACUGAGUCUGUCUGCAUGAUGCAGCUCUGAUUUCUUGGGUGAAGAAAAUCUACUUUGGGUCCCAAUGCGACUGAAAAGGACUGUGAAAGAACAAUAUGAACCCCAAGAUGAUUCUCUUACUCCUGAUGAUUGAGACCGGGAUAAGUAUACCCUUGUAGGCCAAAGUCUAUCGAAUUAUCUGAAAGGGGAACUGGUCGCAGAAGCUGGAAAGGUUGCAGACGAAGCUACAGAUACAGAUCCUGAACCUUAUUGGAACCAGAGUGGAACCAGUGACCCUUGGAGACUUCACCUCUUGACUUACCUCUGCAUUUUUCUCACUUCAAAGAAUGGGUGGGGGUGGCUCUGUUUAGCGCAGCCCUGUGUUGUGGAUUAGUGCUUAUACUAUGACUGGUUUGCAAACUCAGAUCUCAGCAGAAACGUGACAAGGUGGUAAUUGCUCAAGCACUUGCUGCCAUAGAGCAAGGCACCUCCCCUGAAAUUUGGCUAUCUAUUCUCAAGAAUUAGUUGGCAUUUGAGUUCUCUGCCUUUGCAUUCCACGAAUUUGUGGAUACAUUGCAUUGAGAUGAGAGAAACUCAACGAUCAUUGAUCAACCCGUGUGCAUUGCUGAGGUUUCCUCAUUGCAUGUGAUAGAAUGACCAUGAUUUCCCCACUAAUUUAUUUUUGGCUGGCCUCUUCUGUAGAGUUCACCCUAGGCCAUUUAGCAGUUGUAGUCACACAGCACUGUGGUAUCCAGAGACGGGCAACUUUCCUCGUGCACAGACCAACCUAAGACAAUGGGGCCCGGUGGUGAUAGGGUUACCCGAUAACGGGUAAGGCUGUGACAUUGGAGGAACGACCUAAAACAGGGGCCACAGCAGAUGGACGUAACUACAGAGGCCUAGACCAGCCUCAUUUUUAUUAAAACAUAAAGGGGGAGAUGUGGAGAGCCGCAAUAACAUUUACCAUCUUAAGAUGGCGCUGGCUCCGCAGUGCCUUAUGCCACCUAAACAAAGAACAAGCUAUAUGUGCAUCUGCUAAAAGCAAAAACCCACCAAAAGUCACCAGCCCAUUUCCAGGGCACCGGUCCAUCCCCCAGGGCACUAGCCCAACCCCUGGGGCGUUUAGCCUAUCCCUAGGGUGCAUGAGAUUUGUGGGUGUAGCUACCAGUCCUAGUUUAGACACGUCACCAAAAAGUAUUUAAGCCACACACUUUCUGAGCCUUCUUUGUCUACCUCAAUAUGUUAUGAAGUAAAGUUAACCAUGAAAGAAU
rnacentral:lncRNA from 1 species